AUGAAUAUUUUAUAUUUCAAACUGAUAGCUACACUGAAGGCGAAAAUAAAAUAUCAUUUGUUGAAUAUAUAUUUUCCAUUGAAUUCAAUAAGAGUGCAAUAUUUAUAUUGCUCCAUUUCAGCUGUCAUAAUGACACAUUUAGUAUGUGUAUGACAGAUCGAUAGCUGUCACUUGAGAGUUGUAAAUAUGGAGUGUUACAUGAAAAAAUGAUGCUAUUGUCUAUAUGAAUUUCCAGAAAUAUUUUUAAGAUUAAAAGAUAGGGUUUCCGCGCGGGAAAGAUCAAAGAAAUAUAACAACCGAAUACCAUGCGCUUAGCUUAAAUAUUUCUAAGAAAAACAUUCUGAAAAAAUUCUUCAGGUAGACUCUUAAAACCCAUCAGUCAUACAGCAUUAUGACCUUGACUUUAACUGAGGUACUCUAGUGUACAAAACUAAAAACCGACAAUAAGUCGGUUUGAAAAGUCAACAUUUACUCAUUUUAUAACCUAAAGCUAAAUGGCCAGUAAGAAAUCACAAAUAUAGCCUGACAGCCUCCCAAUCAAGCCACCAUUGAAAAACCAAAUAGGGCUGUAGCAUCACACAACCGUAGGCAGGUUCAUUAAAUAUUCCAGAAAUUACAAGAAAAAACGGUGGAUAAUAAGCAAAAAUAACGUCCAAUUAAACAAUUACCAGAGAUGUGUCCAACCCAAUAACGUAAUCUCCACUUAAGGAUAGGCUCGCCUUCUAGAUAUAUCUAAUAUCACUAGAAGCGCUAUGACUCACUUGAGCUAUGAGCUGUAUUGUAUUUUAACAGUACGCGGAGUCAAGACGUUCGCAUGAAUUCAUCAUGGAUUCAUAGGAUCAGCUAAUUUGCAUCUUUUGAUAGCGAAUGUUGAAAUGUUUACAUGUUCCGUUGAUCGUUGAUGGUUAGAAAUCGUCUCUUAUCCUGUUUGAUAAUGUGGAUAUAGCCGGAAAAUUCAAGAUGAUGAAAGAUAUGCGAUUUAGAUCACGUAUUUCCGAAGAAUUUGUACCGAACACAUAUGAUCCAGAUAGAGUUGCCCAACGAAGAUCACAUGAACAGGCAGAGGAAGAAUCUAAAAUUAAACGAUAGUUACAUCCUGCAGAACUCUGAUAAGGCAGCUGCUGGACCCAAGAAGCAAAAGUUUAGAUCCCAACUGUUAGCAAACAUUGUGAAAUACUUCAACGUGAAGAGCAGAUGUUCAAUUCAUAAAUAAUAAUAUGAUUACCUACGCAUUCUGCCGUGAAAUGUCGAAUAGAUUGAAAAAAGUUAUGAUACAUAAGAAUAUUAAACGUAAAAACCUAUUUUUAAUGCCGUAAA